rnacentral:rRNA from 1 species
GCACGAGAACGUGGAGCAUGCAUGAGUAAAGUGGCGCACGGGUGAGUACACGUGAAUGAUCUACCUCCGAGUGGGGAAUAACCUAGAGAAAUCUGGGCUAAUACCGCAUAACACUUACGAGUCAAAGCAGCAAUGCGCUUGGAGAGGAGUUCGCGGCCGAUUAGUUAGUUGGCGGGGUAAUGGCCCACCAAGACGAUGAUCGGUAUCCGGCCUGAGAGGGCGCACGGACACACUGGAACUGAAACACGGUCCAGACUCCUACGGGAGGCAGCAGUGGGGAAUUUUGCGCAAUGGGGGAAACCCUGACGCAGCAACGCCGCGUGGAGGAUGAAAUCCCUUGGGAUGUAAACUCCUUUCGAUCGGGACGAUUAUGACGGUACCGGAAGAAGAAGCCCCGGCUAACUUCGUGCCAGCAGCCGCGGUAAU